rnacentral:rRNA from 1 species
GUGCAGCAGGCGAGAAUUUUUCACAAUGGGGGAAACCCUGAUGGAGCGACGCCGCGUGGAGGAUGAAGGCCCUCGGGUCGUAAACUCCUGUCAUGCGGGAACAAGAAAGUGAUAGUACCGCAAGAGGAAGAGACGGCUAACUCUGUGCCAGCAGCCGCGGUAAUACAGAGGUCUCAAGCGUUAUUCGGAUUCAUUGGGCGUAAAGGGUGCGUAGGUGGCGAUGUAAGUCUGGUGUGAAAUCUCGGAGCUUAACUCCGAAACUGCAUUGGAUACUGCGUUGCUUGAGGAUUGUAGAGGAGAGUGGAAUUCACGGUGUAGCAGUGAAAUGCGUAGAUAUCGUGAGGAAGACCAGCUGCGAAGGCGACUCUCUGGGCAAUUCCUGACACUGAGGCACGAAGGCCAGGGGAGCAAACGGGAUUAGAUACCCGGGUAGU